rnacentral:rRNA from 1 species
UACAGAGGUCUCAAGCGUUGUUCGGAUUCAUUGGGCGUAAAGGGUGCGUAGGUGGCGCUGUAAGUCGGGUGUGAAAUUUCGGAGCUUAACUCCGAAACUGCAUUCGAUACUGCGGUGCUUGAGGACUGGAGAGGAGACUGGAAUUCAUGGUGUAGCAGUGAAAUGCGUAGAGAUCAUGAGGAAGACCAGUGGCGAAGGCGGAUCUCUGGGCCAUUACUGACGCUGAGGAGCGAAAGCGUGGGGGAGCGAACAGG